rnacentral:rRNA from 1 species
UACGGAGGGGGCUAGCGUUGUUCGGAAUUACUGGGCGUAAAGCGCGCGUAGGCGGACCUGCAAGUCGGGGGUGAAAGCCCGAGGCUCAACCUCGGAACUGCCUUCGAUACUGCGGGUCUCGAGUCCGGGAGAGGUGAGUGGAAUUCCUAGUGUAGAGGUGAAAUUCGUAGAUAUUAGGAAGAACACCAGUGGCGAAGGCGGCUCACCUGGCCCGGUACUGACGCUGAGGCGCGAAAGCGUGGGGAGCCAAACAGG